rnacentral:rRNA from 1 species
AUUAGAGUUUGAUCAUGGCUCAGGACGAACGCUGGCGGCGUGCCUAAUACAUGCAAGUCGAGCGGACAGAUGGGAGCUUGCUCCCUGAAGUCAGCGGCGGACGGGUGAGUAACACGUGGGCAACCUGCCUGUAAGACUGGGAUAACUUCGGGAAACCGGAGCUAAUACCGGAUAACACCGAGGACCUCAUGGUCCUUGGUUGAAAGAUGGCUUCGGCUAUCACUUACAGAUGGGCCCGCGGCGCAUUAGCUAGUUGGUGAGGUAACGGCUCACCAAGGCGACGAUGCGUAGCCGACCUGAGAGGGUGAUCGGCCACACUGGGACUGAGACACGGCCCAGACUCCUACGGGAGGCAGCAGUAGGGAAUCUUCCGCAAUGGACGAAAGUCUGACGGAGCAACGCCGCGUGAGCGAUGAGGGCCUUCGGGUCGUAAAGCUCUGUUGUUAGGGAAGAACAAGUACCGUUCGAAUAGGGCGGUACCUUGACGGUACCUAACCAGAAAGCCACGGCUAACUACGUGCCAGCAGCCGCGGUAAUACGUAGGUGGCAAGCGUUGUCCGGAAUUAU